rnacentral:rRNA from 1 species
CCUACGGGAGGCAGCAGUGAGGAAUAUUGGUCAAUGGACGAGAGUCUGAACCAGCCAAGUAGCGUGAAGGAUGACUGCCCUAUGGGUUGUAAACUUCUUUUAUAUGGGAAUAAAAUGUUCCACGUGUGGGAUUUUGUAUGUACCAUAUGAAUAAGGAUCGGCUAACUCCGUGCCAGCAGCCGCGGUAAUACGGAGGGUCCGAGCGUUAUCCGGAUUUAGUGGGGUUAAAGGGAGCGUAGGUGGAUUGUCAAGUCAGUUGUGAAAGUUUGCGGCUCAACCGUAAAAUUGCAGUUGAAACUGGCAGUCUUGAGUAUAGUAGAGGUAGGCGGAAUUCGUGGUGUAGCGGUGAAAUGCUUAGAGAUCACGAAGAAUUCUGAUUGCGAAGGCAGUCCACUGGAAUGUAACUGACACUGAGGCUCGAAAGUGUGGGUAUCAAACAGGAUUAGAUACCCGUGUAGUC